UAUAAUAGAUUUCAUAGCAUUAUGGAGUUUUGAAAGAUUUAUCGCAGUAGGAUAGGCAUGCGUAAGAUUAGAUAGUUGGUGAGGUAACGGCUCACCAAGUCGACGAUCUUUAGGGGGCCUGAGAGGGUGAACCCCCACACUGGUACUGAGACACGGACCAGACUCCUACGGGAGGCAGCAGUGAGGAAUAUUGACAAUGGGUGGAAGCCUGAUCCAGCCAUCCCGCGUGUAGGAAGACGGCCUUAUGGGUUGUAAACUACUUUUAUCUGGGGAUAAACCUAUCUACGAGUAGAUAGCUGAAGGUACCAGAAGAAUAAGCACCGGCUAACUCCGUGCCAGCAGCCGCGGUAAUACGGAGGGUGCAAGCGUUAUCCGGAUUUAUUGGGUUUAAAGGGUCCGUAGGCGGAUUAAUCAGUCAGUGGUGAAAUCUCAUAGCUUAACUAUGAAACUGCCAUUGAUACUGUUAGUCUUGAGUAAUGUUGAAGUUGCUGGAAUGUGUAGUGUA
rnacentral:rRNA from 1 species